UACGUAGGGGGCAAGCGUUGUCCGGAAUCAUUGGGCGUAAAGAGCGCGUAGGUGGUCCGAUAAGUCGGCUGUGAAAGUCAGGGGCUCAACCCUUGAAAGCCGGCCGAUACUGUCGGACUAGAGUUCGGAAGAGGCGAGUGGAAUUCCCGGUGUAGCGGUGAAAUGCGCAGAUAUCGGGAGGAACACCAAUGGCGAAGGCAGCUCGCUGGGACGUGACUGACGCUGAGGCGCGAAAGCGUGGGGAGCAAACAGG
rnacentral:rRNA from 1 species